GACUUGGGCUGAACGGUGGGAACCUACUGCUGAGGAAGGCAGACAGGGUCGCGUUACUGUGGAGCCCACCGUGGGACAGCUUUCUUGUGAGAAAACUGGGGAUGCCAUAGCACCAGAGGUCAGCGCAGGAACCAGGGACCAUGUCUGCGGUGAGUGACACACAUUGGAGGAAGCAGGUCUCAGGAGAGAGAGCUGAGACAUCACUGUGCACGUGUGUCUGUGUGUGCAGACACGUGCCAGGCCUUCCAGUCACAGAGCUUCACAGGACAGACGGCAUGUGGUGGAGAGGCCCUCAGAAAAUCGUGACGGUGGUGCGCGUGGAGAAGCCGACCGGACUGCCAGGCUUACUGUGCAGGAGAGGCUUCCUGCGGGGGCGAAGUCCUACGGCUACAGCAAGCUUGCCAAAAUCAUGGCUUCUUCAUCUGAAAAAGCCACUGUGGGUUCUUCCUCACUAAAGGCUCCCACAGCAUUGCCUCAGCGUGGACUAAAGCCCUAUUGAUGUGAGGAAUGUGGGAGAACUUUUAGUUGUUCCUCAUCCUUCAGGGCACACGUAAGAGCUCACACUGAGGAAAAACCCUACGUGUGUAAAGAAUGUGGAAAAGCCUUCUCUUCUCCCUCUUCUCUUAGAAAACACGUGAAGGUUCACGGUGCAGAGAGAGCCUGUGAAUGUAAGGAGUGUGGAAAAGCCUUCCUCCAUUCUUUUUACCUGCUCAUCCACGCAAGGAUGCACACUGGAGAGAAAGCCUACAGCUGGCCCUCAGACCUCAGGAUCCACCUGAGGACACACUCGGGAGAAAAGCCUUACGAAUGUAGACACUGUGGAGAAGCUUUCAGUUCUCCUUCGUCCUUUAAGGGGCAUCUGCGAACUCACACUGGCGAGAAGCCGUACGCAUGUAACGCAUGUGGGAAGGCCUUCAGCAGCCCUUCACACUUCAGAACACACGUGUGAGUCCACACUGGAGAGAAGCCCUGCGUGUGUCAGCAGUGUGGGAAGGCGUCCAGCUGGUCAUCGUCUUCUCAGGGACAUUUGAGGACUCACAGCAGAGAGAGACCUUGUGCGCGCGAGGAACGUGGUAAAGCCUUCAGUAGGCUUUCGUCCUUGCAGGGACAUGAGGGAAUUCACACUGGGGAGAAACAGAAUGGCAGCGGCGUGGGAGAGCCCUCUGUAGCCCUGUACCCGUAAGCACAUGCCGGCGCACCCGGGAUGGAGCUCCAGGCCAGCAAGCAGUGGUGGAAGGCCUCCGCGCAGCUCACAUUACUGUGCACAGCAAACUGCCUACCCCUGGAGACUUUUUUACAGAGAGCCUGGAUGUUCUGUUGGCUUUAUCAGUGCCUUAUUCUGGAAGUAGGUCCCUGUCACAUUGUCUCCAGUUCUUUCAGAGAAUAACAUCUAUGGGGAGAUACUCCUUAAAGUAUUACUUUUCCAGGGCUGCCUAACAGGUGGCCGCAGAGGUGGCAGCUUAAAGAAACAGAAGGAUUCUCUCCCAGCUCUGGGUGCUAGAAGUUGGAAGUCAAGGUGUCUUUACGGUCAGCUCCUUGGGAAGGUUCUGAGGGGGAAUCUGAUCUAUGCGCCCUACAAACUUCUAGUGGCUGCCAGUAAUCCCUGGUGUUCUCGGCUUGUAGGCGAAUGAUUCCAGUUUCUGUCUUCAUUUUAACAUCACCUCCUCCUCCAAAUGUUUCAUCCUUUUCUCUUAGAAGGAGACUUGUCUUUGGGUUCAGGCGCACUCUAGUCCAGGAUGAUCUCGUCUCAAGAUCCUUAUUACAUUUCCAAAGACCCUUUUUCCAAAUAAGGUCAUAUCACAGGUUCUGAGCGGAAGUGUCUUUGGUGGGGGACGGUGGGCACCAUUCUACUCGCUACAUACCCUGUCUGCCAAAUUGCAGACCUUUGGUGUAUAGUUUUUUUCAUCAAAUUGCUUAUACAAAAGUUAUGUACAUUAUGAAGUCUUUUGGACCCAUAGGUCUUUUGAAGUUUAUUUAAAAACAGGUAAUUGUUGGGAUGUUAGUUUGAUUUCUAAUUAAGCUACAGUGUGGAUUUCUCUGGCAAGCUCCCACACGUCCCUCUGCACCACUGGUUUCUGCCCUCGUGGCUGGUGGUGACCUUCUCUGACACUCUUCUCUCCAGCUCUUACCAUAUCUGUGUUAGGUCUGACCUGCGCAGUGACCGUCUGCCUGCAGUGCCUGGUGGCCCUGUGUCCCGAUGCCUCCCUGAGACCUGCAGCUGCGAUUUCCCCGGCUGCAGCGUUGAGUGGCUGCAUUUGCCCUGUUCUGUUUCCACAGCUCUGUAUGGAAAAGCGGUAACUUGCAGACAGAUGGAACAAACUGUGUUUUCUGUUAUUCACAGCUGAAUGCAGUCUCUGAACCAUAAACUUAAUAUGUGGUCAACUAUUACAACUUCUGUUUGCAACAUAAGAUACUUUUUUUUUUUUUGUCGGAGAACUCUCGCUGGUGCCUUACUCCAUAACACAUCACCCAGUGUCCUUGUUUGAUGACAGUGUUGUGUGAAACGGUUUCUGUUCAGCAGGUCACGGCCGAGGAGUGAAUGCCACUCCAGUAGAUCCCAGUUGUGAAGGGCUGAUUCUGCUUUCUGACUAUGCAAAUGCUUCAGUAUGUUUCUAUCCGGCACUGUUUUGUUUCCCUUGUAUUAGUUCAGUUAACACAAAUCGAGAUAAUCCUCCAAACUACAUUGUAGGCACGUUUAUCUCCUUCGUGAGUUAACUAGGGCUUACAGAUCGCAAAGCUAGCAAGUGGUAGAGACAGGAUCAGGACUCAGAAGACGCCCUUCUAGCCUGGAGACCGUGCUCUUCACCUGAUGGGACUUUCUGAACCUCUUUAAGGUACUGGCCACUCCCAGCCCAGAACCCAUUCUAGAAGCCCAUUCAAAAGUCCUUGCAUUUUAACGGUAACCCACAAACCUCAGGCCAAGUAAGGAUUCUAGCCAGUGUCAGUGGGAGCUGACACAUUGAUUUCGUGCAUCUAGCCUCCAAAACGGAGAGAAUUAAUUGAAGCCACCCAGUUCCGUGGUCUGCCCCACCUUCUGGAAACACAUGCCCUCUUUUUCACAAGAGUUUUAAAUGUUCCAGGUAAUGGUCACCAAGACCAGCUUAUAUCACAAAAGGAUAAAUCACCUUUGGGGGAGUCUGCAGCUGAUCCAGGAAAGACGUGAGUACAGGCGGCAGGCGCACACCGGAGCUCUGUUCCGGCAGUGUUUUGACAGCUGUGCAUGUGGGCAAGUCCCUCCUAGCAUGAGACAGUCCAGAGGCAAAGGAAAGGGAGCCACCACCCGGAAGAGGAAUGCAAGGGAACACCCACACAAGGGGCUUCACAGGGGACCAGAAAAGUGGUGGUGCUCUGGGAAGCCUUUGGGUCAGAGCACUCCAAGGGCAGCAGCUGCCUGCGUCUGUUAACAGCUACAUGGAUCACCUUAUUUAUGGCCAGCAGCUCUUGGGUGCCGCUUCACAGGGCAUGGUAAGCAAGCAGGCUCUUAACAGUUAAAAUUGGGACUCUGUUUAAAACAAAUGGACGUGCAAAAACCUGAGUUUAGCACCAGGGGGCUUUUGAGCCUUUAGUCUGUAAUGAGCAACUAAACAGUAUACAGACACCAUCUUUGUCUCAUGUAUGCAACUUAUGUAUAUACUUCCACCUGGAAACACACGAUCGCUGAAUUGUUCUCAUCAAAGUAUCAGAUCUGGACCUAGUCACACCUCUAGCUCUGAAUUCCAAUUAUCUGCUAAAUAACAGCGGGGAGAUGCAGUUAGAAAACCCACUGUAUUAAAUUUCUGUGUGACUUAUUACAUUCAACAAUUACACUGCAAAGAAAAUGUGGGACUAUAGCUUAAAUAUAAAGGAGAUAAUAAAUUAAAAUUAUGGAUCUUAUUGGAUCCAAUGCCAGCAAUCCAACUGCAAAAUUUUUUAAAUUAUGUAGACCAUCAGGGAAAUUGACCACUACCACCUAUAUAUUUGACUACAUUAAGGGAUAACUGAUCAUUGUUAGGUGUGAUAAUGGCAUUAUGGUUAAAUACAGAUAUAUAUCCCAAAAUCUCCAAGGAUGAAAUAUGCUGAGAACUGCUCAAAAUUAUCCAGAGGGAGCUGCAUGUUGUAGAGAAGAAGUGACGGAAAAUUGUUGAAGGCAGAUAAUUGGCAUAUGUGGUUUUCUUAAAUCAUUCUACAUUUACAAAGUUUGAAGUUUCUCAAAGUAUUAAAAACACACAAGGGAGAACUAUUAUGAAACGAAUUUUUGGUACAUUCUGUAUGAUUAUGCUGCAUAAUGCAGUCUCUUUCCUGAAAGGGUAUUCAGAUGGUGUGACAAAUUGCAUUAUUGGUUCAAAUUUUUCAACCCCCUGUGAAACAAUCUAGCUAUGUCCUCAUGGUAGCAAGAAUGUAACUAUUUCUCCCCUUGAUUUUGAGUCAUAUGACUUGCUUAAGUCAAUGCUAUGUGAGCAAAUGUUAUGGGAGAAACCCUGAAAUGUGUUUGUGCAUUUGGCAUUCCUCUAUUCCUCAAGGGAUCUGUCAUGAGGAAUCUUCCCCAAGGUGGCUGCUAUCCAAUCCAGCUUCAGCCCCAGAAUGGACAUACUUGAAUCAGAGCCAGUUCACCAACUAGAAUAGACUUGAAGACCCACCACUUUUAAUAACCUACCCAAGCCAACCAUCAGACCUGUGGGCAUGAAAACAGAUGUUUCUUGUGACAUGUCAUAAGCAAAAAUCUGAGUAAGUUAUUUACAGUUAUAAUAAAUUACAAAUUUUGCACAAUUCACAAGUUAAUGUCAGACAAAACAUGCCAUGUAUUAAGUAGAAACAAUAUGCGCUGGUAGGGCAGAGGAAGAAGAGAAUUCUUAAGACUGACAAAGGAUCAAGAAAGUCCAUGCAGGAAUGGUUAGUGGGUGCUUGCGUUUCCUUAUUUUAUGCAAAUAAGAUGAUAUGAAUUUGAAAUAUCUGGAAACAAAGUGUUGCUGAAAUGAUACAAAGUUAAAAGACUUUUUCAAAGACUGAAUAAAUUCAAACUGAAAUGUAAAUUGUGUUUACAGUCUUGCCACAUAGCUUCUUUUUGGUAUCCUACAGAAAAACCAACAAGAUGGCACUGUGGCAACCACACCACAUUAUAUAUAGUUUGGAGAGCUGUUUUGGUGUCAUCUGUUCUUUUACUUUAACAAUUAAUACAAUCUAAAAUAUUUACUUAUCUGACAAUCAUCAUUCAAGAGCAUCUGGUGCGACCACUGCUGGUAUGGAAAACUGGAGUAAAGCUCUGCAUCUUUGAAAUUCUAGAGACGUCCGAAUUACUGCCAGUGUGAGCCACGCUGUUACAAGGAGUAAAGUCUGAAAUACUGGAGCUCAGAAAAAACCUCUGCAAAUAACUGUGACACUUUCUCUCUUCAGAGAGAUUAGACAGAUAGAUGGACAUCUGGACACAGGAACCACCAUUCAAAUACCUGAACUCUCCCAGACAUACACACACGUGGUGGCGUGACGGACAGACCAAAUCACACAAACUGUCACUGGGACGUGCAUGUGGACACACUCAGAUACACACACACAAACUCACACUGGCAAAGGUGAGGUCUCCAGAGAAAUGAACACACUCCCAGAGAUACAUAGCCUAGGCCCUCUGCGACUCCCCCAUCCCCCGACGCCCAGCACCCGUCAGAACUAACCAACAUCAGAUAUGCUGUUGAUCUGACUUGUUGCCUCUUCUCCUGGAACAGGGACUUCACACUUCCUGAACCUGCACAGCGCAGAAAGUCUCUCUCUCCCUAAGAACCACAAGACCGUAAUCUGUGGGAGCAAUGUCCGGGGCCCGACAUGGCUGGGGACAUGAUGUUCCAGCCCCCAACCCCAUGCUGCUUAGGAUUCUUCCAGCAAUACACUCAUCACUGCUUUUACCUUUUCUCACUUUGCGUUCCAACUGGAAACUCAAUGCAGGCGGCAAUGCGGUCUGUCUCGUCCAAGGGCAGCCACGUGCCCUGCAUUGUGGUCCCCUUCGCAGCCCUCUCUGUUGGCCUCACGUGCCUGCAGACCCGACUCCACCCGUCCUGGGCGGCCCCAGGGUCCUCCCCGAGGCUCCGAGGUUCGGUGCUUCAGGAGCUCAGGCCACACCUCUAAAGGCCACAGAGAAGCCUCUUGCAAGUUGACGCGCUGAGGAGGUCUUCCCUCUUCCCCGGGGCCGCCUCCGAGUCGCCCCGCCCAGGCGCACCUGCGCACUUCUGCGAAGAAUGCGCUCCGAGGAGUCUCCAGCAGCCUUUUUAAACAGGCGAUUGCGUUGCAUGCCGGGAGGAGUCUGCGGGCGGGGAUCCCGGCGUCCACCGCGCCUCUCUCUGAGGAUCUCCAGUUCCCACAAGCCGUAGGGGCUGAGACCGUGGCGCGCAGGCGUGGUGGGAGUGCGCAUGCGCUGCGGCGUGGCGGCCCCAGAGACCCGGAGGAGCCGUGGUGAGGAUGCGGAAACCCAGGUGAGGCCUCCAGCCAGACUGGAGCACCUGCCAUCCGACAUCCUCAGGUGGUGAUGAUGGAGUCGGUGUUUGUGCGUGCGCGCCGACGGGCGGGCCAUGGCAGGACGUCCCUUUGUGGCGACGCUGGAGGGUUUGAGACUGACGUGCGCCUUGAUGUGCAUGAGGAGGUCAGGGUGCUCUGACAAUGACCUGUGUCCCCUUGUCGCAGGUCCUGCCCCUGCUGUUUCUGUCACCUCUCAGCCCCCCGGGGGGGCUGCCACGACGUUCCACGAGCAGGAGUGUGGAACCCUCAUGACGUCGCCCAGCAGAAAGUCACAGGACCCUGACUGAUGCAACUUUAAAGGGGGAUGGCCUCCAGACAGGCCCUGGAAAGACAUGACGCUGAUGCCCCCAGGCAGGGGCUCUUGGAGAAAUGUAGGAGCGCCUUUCUGUUCCAGACCACAGCAUUCCCAGAUAUCUAACUGGAGGGACCUGGCAUAAACUCAAAGAUUCCAGGAGCCCUUUCACUUCUCUCCUACUAUGCGAGAUUUUCAUGAAGAUGGGACUCUAUUAAGAAGUGAGAGCUCAGGAAAGAGGAAAAGGACACGAGGACUUGGACCUCCAUAAGUUCCCCACCCUCCUGAGUCCAGUGCUACUGCCACCAGCCCUGAGUUCACACACGCGCCACCUGCUGCCAGAACAGCCCUUCUACCGCAGCCAUGAGACUACUCCCGCUGGCCUCGGGGAUAAGAGUCCUACUCUGCAAAGGACUUUAUUUUUUCCCCGGUAUCUGAAUAAAUCCAUUUGUCUUUUAGAAUAUAUUAAUCUGAACAAUUUGGGGGGAAGGAAUAAUCACAUUAUCAAGUCAGAGCUAGGGUGACCGUGUCAUAUGGUUCAAGCCAGGACAUUUUUGAGAAUAAAAGUGGUAUUAUUAUUAUUGUUACUGUUAUUUUACAAAGGACUUUAACAUCAAAAACAUCUGAUGGGGGGAGGGUGUAGCUCAGUGGCAGAGCACAUGCCUAGCAUGUACCAGGUCCUGGGUUCAAUCCCCAGCACCUCCAUUAACAAAUUAAAUAAACCUAUCUCCCCUGCCAAAACAUUUUUUUUAAUUUAAAAUUUU